rnacentral:sRNA from 1 species
UGCACGGCAGUUGUGGGGUAACUUAAGC